GACGAACGCUGGCGGCGUGCUUAACACAUGCAAGUCGAACGGAAAGGCCCUGCUUUUGUGGGGUGCUCGAGUGGCGAACGGGUGAGUAACACGUGAGUAACCUGCCCUUGACUUUGGGAUAACUUCAGGAAACCGGGGCUAAUACCGGAUAGGAGCUCCUGCUGCAUGGUGGGGGUUGGAAAGUUUCGGCGGUUGGGGAUGGACUCGCGGCUUAUCAGCUUGUUGGUGGGGUAGUGGCGUACCAAGGCUUUGACGGGUAGCCGGCCUGGGAGGGGGACCGGGCACCAGAGGACUGCGGUAAGGCGCAGGAGUCAACCGUGGGGAAGGGGGGGGAAUAUUAGACAACAGGGCGGAGGCUGAAGGGAAAACGCCCGGAGCGGGAAGACCGGCUUUCGGGUGGGAACCGCUUUCGCCUGUGACGAAGCGUGAGUGACGGUAAUGGGUAAAGAAGCACCGGCUAACUACGUG
rnacentral:rRNA from 1 species